CACCUUAUCCUUGAUGAAUGUUCCCUCUCUGCAACUUUAUUAUAUGCUUGCCCUUUGUUUGAGUCGUUUCCUACUCUUCCCUAAUCAAAAUAGGAUGAUAUGUAUCUUGAAAAGAAUUGUCAUGUUAUGGUAGGCUAUAAGUUAUUUCCUUGUUGGUUUGUAAUAACAGUGUAACAACUUUUUGACUAAUAACUUUAAAACCAAAAUUUUAGUUGCUUCUUCCAUGGAUUUCCAAUUUACUUUCUGACAAGUCUUUCUCUUAGCGUUGCUUUAAUGUUAUUUGAAUGAGUGAACAAUGUGUUCUCUCGUAUGUGCUUAUCACCAAUCUAAUAUUUGUCCCUUUGUUUGGUAUUUAUUUCAUAGUGUCGUAAAUGCAAAAGUUGAACAGAAGAAACACUAUUCUAUUAACAGUUGUGUACUUAUUUACUUUGAUUGCCUUCUUGAAUUGCUUAGGUUCCAAAGGAAGAAUGCUGGCCGCAUUUAGCUUCUGCCAUUUUGAAUUAUUUUAUUUUGGUCUGAUCAGUGUAUUAGUCACAGAACAUUGGCCUGUCUAUCUGCAUGAAUUUGAACUUGUUACAUCUUUUUAAGAUGUUAAAUAAUGGUUCUUUGAUUAGUUGAUCAUCUCGUAGGUGAGACAAUAAUUGCCUGGUCUAGAAUCCCGUGUACAAUUGGAGUUGUCAAGAGUUAAUCCCUGACAAUACUUCCGGGGUAUACCAGGCGAUAGGUGCGUGAUUGACGUGUUCGGUGUGUGUGUAUGAACUCAAGAACACCAACGUUAUCCAGGUUCAGACCUCCCAGAGGAUAACAACCCUACAUUAUGUGUAUUCUUUUAUGGAUAGUAUUAAAUUGUUUACAGAUGUGUUCCUCUCCUUCUUACAAGCCCAAUCUUCAUCUAUUUAUAUAGCAGGAGUGGUGUAUAUAUAAAUAGACUGUGCCAACAGCGUGACCGGUCUAACUCUGACGAAACCAACUACCCUUAGCUAGGGCAGGUGUGCAGAUCCUAUAUUGGUCGACUAGCCUGCCCUGUUCUGUCGCCCCACGCCGCAUGCACACCUGCGAUGCCGUUCCAUUGGUCGUGCGGCGACACGCCUAUCUGUAUAACGCUAUCCCGUAGCAUUUAAUGCUACGGGACGGGACUCUGCCCAUCUGCGUCGGUCAAGACUUUCUUCGCUGGAGGGGGUGCUUGGGGAAGGAAAACAUUUAAGUAGAUAGCAUUUAAUGCGACUUGAUAGGUCAAGAUGAAAUAUCUACCCUGCGACCAACGAGGCUGAUCGCAGGGUUUACCUCCACGACUAGGGGGUUGGUCGCGAGAGCCUUGUUUGGUUGCACGAUAGGGCCAUAGUCUUACGAAAAGAUAUCUACCGCCAGCUAGCACUCUCUUGUGCGGACUCCCCCUAACAAGGGACCUCUUUAUUCAAUACACCGACAGUAGCCCCCAAACUCUCGCGUGGAUGUGGUCGGUUGUGCAGUUCGUCAUGUGGUCGUGGUCGGACCUGGUCGCACCACUUGGGCCCUAGGUGGACAAGAGUUUAUCCCGGGAAUGGUUAUUGACACAGUCUUCCCUCGUGGUGAACCUAGGAAAACCGCAUCCUGAGGGGAGGUUAAAUAAAGAGAGAGAUCGUGGGAGAGAGAAAAGAGGAGAAUAUGGGAGAGAAAAAAAGAGACGUGGGAGAGAGACAAUGAUGGCCGUUGGACCCAAGGGAAUUUCUGCUUCUCCUGCGCGGCAUUUCAAAUUUUGAACUAUCAAGUCGCAUAUCCCGCGGCGGUUGAGAUACUGCAGCCGUCCUAUAAAUGGCGGCGUCGAUGGCUCUCCGCAUAUCCUUUUUUCAUUCUCCAAGCCCCCAACCCUUGUGCCUAGAGCCCCUUUUCUCCGUCGCUGCCCGUGCUCUCGCCAUAGCCUUUGCCACAUUCCAAUGGUGCCAUGCUCCAGUAAAGAACCUAACUUUCCCAAGUUCAAGUGCACUGCGGCAAAGAUGAGGCAGAUGCGCGAGAACCAUCUGGGGUUACCGCUCUAGGGAAGAUGCGCCUGCUCCCAAUCAGGAGGAGAUCGUUAUGUUCGCCUCCUUUCCUGCCGGCCUUAUGCCGUUCUUCUUUGAAUUCUUCACCAUCAUUAUCACCUUCUACGAUAUCUUCCACCUCCACUUAAAUCCUAAUUUCAUCAUCAUGUUGAGCGUUUUUGCUCACAUGUGCGAGAAUUUCAUAGGGGUCGAGCUGUGCCUCGAUCUUUUCAGAUUCUUCUAUACGGCCAGGUUACAGAUCGGGCUGGCCACCAGGAGCUGCGGGUUUCAACUCCACGAUGGCGUUGCGGGCUCCUACCUCGAGAUGGGCCUCAAGUCGUCGUGGUUAGGAUGGAGGGACGAGUGAUUCUACCUCCAGACAGAAGAUUAUUUGGACAAUAUCCGCUUGCCAGCCAGGCUGGUGCAAGUCACCGAGAACUAGGGGAGCGCCCCUACGGUAACUCCAGAGCUGUUGAGCCUCGCUGCUCGGGUUAAGCAGCUUGUGGACGCCAGGCUGUUGGGAUCAGACGUCGUCCGAGACUUCAUCAAGCGCCAGCUGUACCCCUUGCGAAGGAGAGCACGCCUUGCCUACUUGUACUGCGGGAGUGAGGACGACACCCGGGAGAGCUCCUCAGGUCAAAUUCCUAAUGGCAACUGCCUCGAGGAAGAAUGACCCUCUUAAUCGGAGAGGGCUCGGGUCAGAUUGGGUCUUCCCGAGGUCGAUGUCCUACGCCCGAUCAUAGACGAGGUUACGGCGAUCGCCCGACAAGUUGAUCUUGUUGCCCGCAUGUCCUCUCCGCCGCCUGGCGCCGCUUUGGUGACCGUUGACCUGGUCGUGAAGCCAACCUAGCUGGCCAUGGAGACGACCAGACUGCUCGGAGCCUGGUACCGACCGCAGGCGGUUGUUCUAGGAGCAGAACCGGUCAGCAGAAGGUCGAUCAGCACUGUCCAACCGGCCUAGCUUCGACCAACCUCGACCCGACCAGAUCGAGGGCGAUCAGGCUGCCGUUAGCCAAGUGUUCGCGCAUGGGGGGAAGAGAUCGGCGGAAGACUUGGGUUCCGUGGGAAAUAUCUAAACGCAUAUGUGGGACACCAAUCCCUGGCGGCUCGUCAGCGGCCUUGGCUUCCCCGCCCAACGGCUUUACGAGGACGAAACUUGUGCUGACUCCUACGCUAACGCGGUAAGUCCUUUGGUUAUGAGUGGAUCCUUCGAGCUCUUCCUUAACUUUGUGACCUAUAGUCACUGCAAGUCCUUAAUCCCGCCUACGACCCUAGUCGUGCCUAAUCCAUCGACACCUCAGCAAGGCGUUCCCGGCCCCCAGCCAGACGUCUCCGUUGUGCUGUAAUUUUUAGCUUUAUUAUUUUCACCCUAUGAAAAACUUGGUCUGUAGUUAAUAAAAUAGCAUAUGCGUAAUACAGUUGAAUGUAUUCUUUUUGUGGCCAAGUGCUAAUAGUUAUUAUCGCCUAGUAUCUUAACUGUUCAUCAUCAGUUAAUAUUGCACAAACACACCAUAGUACCCUUUAUUUUGAAUCUGUAUCAAUUACUUAGUUUUGUGGACAUUUGGGCAUCAGUAAUCGUUGUUUAUUAAUUGCUCAAUAUGUACAAACAUUCCUAUUCUGUCUAGAUAUUUUCUCAAUGGCCUUUCAUUGUUAAAAAUAGUUCUAUAUCUAUUAGUUUCCAUGUUGUCAGGAUUCCUAAAAGUUGGUUGUCUAAAAGAUAUGGUUUUCUGAAAGACAUGGUUUGUACAUGCACGAGACAAGACUGUUUUUCGUUGAGAAAAAUGGGUAAGGCCCUGUAUAUGAGCUAUGAAGAUGAGCAUUGUAGUCAUGGUCUUCGAAAAAAUAUGAAUAAAAUAAAAUAUUCUGGUCUCCUUAUUUUUCUGCAUUGGCUCAGAGUUUUGUAUUCACAGCCAGAGUAACAGCUUACUAUCCAGCCGAUCAUGGGUGCGGGCCCUAUCCUUUUCCAUCGGUCCAUACCCUGAUACCCAUAGCCCAAGCUCAUAGUAUCCAUGCAAAUAAUUUUUUGGAGCUUAGGAACAGAAUAUUGCAAUUGCUGAGAGUAAAACACUAGCUGAACAUAAACUCAUAAUUUUCUUCAUUUUCUUAUGUGCCUAAGCUAGUGUCAAUGCCUAUUAUUUUUUUGGAGCUUAGGAAGAAAAUAAUGCAAAUGCUGAGAGUAAAACACUAGCUGAACACAAAGUCAUAAUGUUCUUCAUUUUCUUAUGUGCCUAAGCUAGUGUCAAUGUCUUAUGUUUUCAUGAUCAUGCUGACCUAGUAAAAGAAUACUAAAGAAAAUUACACAUGUCAGUCCAUUAAGCUCACCUAAUUCCACAUGUGGUAUGUCUUAUCUAGAGUUUUCUAGAUUUGUUUGGCCAAGCUGAUUAAUGUGCUAGUAAAAUCAUACCUUGUUUUGGGUUUCCUAUCAUUUCAUUUGAAAACAUUACUUGUGUGUGCUGCUAUAUUUAGAAGCUUCAUUUAUUUUAUUCUUGGCCAGUAUUAGGGCCUUGCUGAGUGUCCUGGGCCUUGUCCUAAAGAUUAUAUUUGACUCUACAAUGGCAUAUUUCAGAAAAAAAUAUAUUUGUAUUUUGUUAGAUUGUGCAAAAUCAAUACAAUUUUUUUUAUGAAAUUUGAUUUUAUACCUGUGAGGUGGGAGAACAGUAAUGGGUUGGGAAAAUACUUUUUAGAAAACCAUGGAUAAGCAAAACUUUUGAAUGACUGCUGUUAACUUUAGUGUGUACUUAUAUAUAGAUUGGCCUCUUCAGUAUUGGUAAGAUAUAUUCGUUUGGAGAAAUAUGAUUUCUUUCUCUAUUGCUAUUUAUUCAUGGUCAUGCAUAAAAUGUUACUUGUGCUCUUUCAAAAUAAAGGAGAAAAUGGGGACCCACCUUGCUAGGAGGCGCCCUGAGUGCUUGCUUAGUUUGCUCCUGUCCAUUGAUGGGUCUGCCCAAUAAUUAUAUAACUUAUACCAGUGUAUUUAUAUUCUGUUGUGGUAAUUGCACACACUCAUCUGCAGUAAUAUGCUUAUGU